rnacentral:rRNA from 1 species
GCUACGGGUGGCUGCAGUGAGGAAUAUUGGUCAAUGGCCGGAAGGCUGAACCAGCCAAGCCGCGUGAAGGACGACGGCGCCAAGCAUUGUAAACUUCUUUUGUCAAGGGACAAAACCCGGCACGAGAGCCUGACCGCGUGUACUUGAAGAAAAAGCAUCGGCUAACUCCGUGCCAGCAGCCGCGGUAAUACGGAGGAUGCGAGCGUUAUCCGGAUUUAUUGGGUUUAAAGGGUGCGUAGGCGGACCGUUAAGUCAGCGGUAAAAGGGCGGGGCUCAACCCCGGCGAGCCGUUGAAACUGGCUGUCUUGAGAUGGCGAGAGGUAUGCGGAAUGCGCGGUGUAGCGGUGAAAUGCUUAGAUAUUGCGCAGAACUCCGAUUGCGAAGGCAGUAUACCGGCGGCGGUCUGACGCUGAGGCACGAAAGCGUGGGGAUCGAACAGGAUUAGAUACUCUGGUAGUC